CUAGAAAGUGGUGGCCUAUACAGACUUUUCACCCGGACCCAUGAAAGACGAGACGGGAGAGUGCUUCUUUUUCACGGCCAAUGGAUUUGGAGUUCACUUCGGGAAACGUAUUAGUCUUCAUUUUCCAAAAUUCCAUUCAAAGCACGCACUUUAAUAUCUCAAAAGGAAAAGAAAGAGAGUUUCAAAAUAGAUCCCAAUCUCUCUCUUUCAAGCAAUUCCUCAAACAACUUCACUGGCAUAUCAUCAUAACAUUGUAACAAUUUAUAUAUAUUUCAAGAGAGAGAACUCUGAGAGACAGACAGAGAGGAACCUGAAAAUAUGGCAACGUUGCAGAAGUUCAAGCUGUUCGCAACGCAAUGCGGCGUGGCGCAGAGUCCUACGCGAAGUCCGAGAACAAGUCCCGUUGUUCAUCUCCGUCGCAAGAAAACCACCCUCCGCAUGCUGCUCAGCCGAAGCUCAGGCUCUAGCCGCCUGUCACCUCCCCAAAAUGAGCCACCGCCGAUUCAUCGCCAACCGAGAAUCCUUGCACCGCUUCCAGAGAAAAAGAGAGACACUUUAAAGGACCUGUUCGUGUCGUCGCCGCCGCCAUUUGAGGAGGAAGAAAACAAAGGCAAGGUUAGAGAGGUGAUAGGAAGCAAGUGUGAAGUUUUCAAAAUGAGAGUGAACGGUUUGUUAGGGGAACCGGCCGGUUCGCCUAGACCGGGAUGGAUCGGUUUUAGACAUAGGUCUUUGAUAAGGAGAGCUUGGCGCCCUCUGCUGGUUGCUAUUCCAGAGGAGGCGGAAAAUGAAUUCGACCCACUUUCUGCUGUAGCAAAAUAAAAUUUCCUUGAAUCGAAGAUUGUGUUUUUUCUUUCUUUUUUAACCUUCUAUAUUUGCCAAUAUAAUAUUUCUAAUAAAUUUGCUUUGUUUGGUUGAAGGAAUCAAAAGGAAAUUUCUUUCACUUUUAUCAUUCUUGGCAUCGAUUCCUUUAUUUUCUAGCCAACCAAACACUUUU
rnacentral:misc_RNA from 1 species